CUCCUCUUGGGCACCAGAGCAAGACUCUGUCUUAAAAUAAAUAAAUAAAUAGAAUAAAAUAAACUAUAUUUGAUCUUUGUCCUCAGUUCCUGGCACAGAAGUACUAAAGCCAUUGGAAUGUCCUGAGUGAUAGGACGCCUUUUGUUACUCCACCACACAUGAACUUAUGCUAGUGAGGGCUAACUACCUGAGACUUGAGGAUGAGAAGCUGGAAGAGAAUCAGAGGGCACCUCAACGGAAGACAACUGUGACUCUAAUGACCCAAAGUACACACUGUCACAUCCCAUGUGCUCAAAUACCACACACUUCACUGACAAAGAAGGUUCCUUGGUUUUACUAAACUACUUGUCAUCAAAAUGUAGCUGAUUUUCACAGUUUGGAAAUAGAAUGUGUGCUAAAGGUCUCAUCAGGAAAUGUGAAUGUCCUGGGUGUUUUGUCUGGUUAUGGGGUUCUGAGGAAAAGAACUGCUCUGCAGAGAUGGGAAGCUAUUUAAGAGGGAUAUGUUUUUAGUUUAAGGCAACAAAGAAUUAAAAUAGGUGGCUCACGCCUGUAAUUCCAGCACUUUGGGAGGCCGAGGCGGGCGGAUCAUGAGGUCAGGAGAUCGAGCCCAUCCUGGCGAACAUGGUGAAACCCCGUCUCUACUAAAUAUACAAAAAACUAGCCGGGCGAGGUGGUGGGCGCCUGUAGUCCCAGCUACUCGGGAGGCUGAGGCAGGAGAAUGGCGUGAACCCGGGAGGCGGAGCUUGCAGUGAGCAGAGAUUGCGCCACUGCCCUCCGGCCUGGGCCACAGAGCGAGACUCCGUCUCAAGAAAAAAAAAAAAAAAAAGUAAGGUUUUACGUAAAUUUACUUCCUUAUUUUUCCUUGUGUUUUUUCUUUCCAUAGUAUUCAAACAAAAUAUUGACUCACCUCCCCUAAAAUUAGCUAUAGAGACUUGCAGAUCACUUCUGUGCUAUGGGAUGUAGGAUUAGCUGGGAAAUCAGUUUGGUAUGAAGCAUUUCUUAAACCUACCGGACCUUCGAAAUCAUUUAAUUGUUGUUUCAUCUCUCAGGACUGGACAUUUGGGGAAACUCUACUAUAGACCAGUAG
rnacentral:lncRNA from 1 species